UACGAAGGGUGCAAGCGUUAAUCGGAAUUACUGGGCGUAAAGGGUGCGUAGGCGGUUCGUUAAGUCUGUCGUGAAAUCCCCGGGCUCAACCUGGGAAUUGCAUUGGAUACUGGCAAGCUAGAGUGCGGUAGAGGAUGGCGGAAUUCCCGGUGUAGCAGUGAAAUGCGUAGAGAUCGGGAGGAACAUCUGUGGCGAAGGCGGCCAUCUGGACCAGCACUGACACUGAGGCACGAAAGCGUGGGGAGCAAACAGG
rnacentral:rRNA from 1 species